GACGAACGCUGGCGGCGUGCUUAACACAUGCAAGUCGAACGAUGAAGCUGGAGCUUGCUCCGGUGGAUUAGUGGCGAACGGGUGAGUAACACGUGAGCAUUCUGCCCUUCACUCUGGGAUAACUGCGGGAAACUGUAGCUAAUACCGGAUACGAGACCUUGGGGCAUCCCAGGGUCUGGAAAGAAUUUCGGUGAAGGAUGAGCUCGCGGCCUAUCAGCUAGUUGGUGAGGUAAUGGCUCACCAAGGCGACGACGGGUAGCCGGCCUGAGAGGGUGACCGGCCACACGGGGACUGAGACACGGCCCAGACUCCUACGGGAGGCAGCAGUGGGGAAUAUUGCACAAUGGGCGAAAGCCUGAUGCAGCAACGCCGCGUGAGGGAUGAAGGCCUUCGGGUUGUAAACCUCUUUUAGUAGGGAAGAAGCGCAAGUGACGGUACCUACAGAAAAAGCACCGGCUAACUACAUGCCAGCCGCCGCCGUAA
rnacentral:rRNA from 1 species